GUGUUGUAUGAAAAGAGAGAAGGUUAGCACUCCCCUUGACAAGGAUGGAAUUGACCCUAGUGGCCUGCAACAAACAUAUGGUUAAGGCAUCUCUCACCAUAUUUUUUG
rnacentral:ncRNA from 1 species